GCGAUAAAGGCAAACUUGAGGAAACUCAAGGACGCAAAGCUAUAGGGCCUAAAGAAGGCAGCCAGCUACCGA
rnacentral:ncRNA from 1 species